UAAGUAGGGGGCAAGCGUUGUCCGGAUUUAUUGGGCGUAAAGAGCGUGUAGGCGGCCAGACAGGUCCGUUGUGAAAACUCGAGGCUCAACCUCGAGAUGUCGAUGGAAACCGUCUGGCUAGAGUCCGGAAGAGGAGUGUGGAAUUCCUGGUGUAGCGGUGAAAUGCGCAGAUAUCAGGAAGAACACCUAUGGCGAAGGCAGCACUCUGGGACGGUACUGACGCUGAGACGCGAAAGCGUGGGGAGCGAACAGG
rnacentral:rRNA from 1 species